AUUAAAAUUAAAAAAAAAACUGUGGGUCCCCCGCGGCUGCCGGAGUUCUUCCGCCGAGAAUGCGCCGUCGUCAGUCCCGGAUCCUGCUCCAGGUGGAGGCGGAACUUGGCGAAGGCGAUGGUUUGGUUCAUUGAACUGGGGAUGCAAACCUGACAACAUGAGCACGUCGUUGACGAUGGAUCUGAAAAUUCUUCAACCGCUCCCUAGUUGAGCUCGCCCACUUUCGUCUUCAGUGAGAAGGGGCCGGCGUCGGGGGCUGGAUUCAGCAUCUGGCGGAGGCGGAGCGUGCAGAACUCGACGUUGAUGAUGGAUUUGGAGAUCGAGAUCGUUUGACGACUCUGGAGGAUAAAAAGUUCCAAUAACGCGCUCUGAUCCUAUGGGAGAAAGGAGGGAUAAAAUUGGGGGCUUAUGUUAAACCUCCAGAGCAGUGAGGAGGACAGGGAUGACAGCGGUGUUGACCCCUCCGUUGCUUGAUCCAUUAGACAGCCAUGAUCUCAUGCUCACCUCCACCCAGGUGAAUCGGAAGAUAUGCUAUUGAUGCCAUCUAAUUAUGCUCUAGAUAGGUGACUUUGAGAUGCAUGUGUCAAUGGGACAUGUCUACUCCAAAUGCUUUGGUUCCUACUAUGUAUCCAAAUGUCCUACUGACUCAAACACCACCAAUUCCAAGCAAACCAGUGUCUGAAUUAGGUCCUUUACCUCCAGCUGCACCACAGAAAGCAUAUCAGAUACCUCUAAGUCCAUUUGUCCAUGGAUAAAUGUCCCAUCUACAAAAGAUGCAAAGUCAGCUGCGAUGGGGACUUCAGGAGUGGCUUCUAGGUUGAAUAUUGGAAGGGAAAAGCAACCUUCUAGAAGAAAAGUGGUAACUAACAAGCAGUUUGUCAAAUGUUUUGUCAAGUUGUCCUGCAUUCUUGUGGUGAUAUUCCUUGCCAAAACAAUAACAAGAUCUCCUCACUAUUUAGCAGUUCACUAACAACAAAGAGCUAUGAUCAAAGACGGGCUUCUCGUGCCACUGGAGAAGCUCUUAAGAUCCUCUACCAAGAUAGAGAAGCAGUGGGGCAUGGAGAUCCUCUUAUUGCUGUAUGGCCGCUUUUUUUGGUAUCAACUAAGCUGUUGUGCAAUUGCAUGGUCCUUUAUGUUAAAUAUUGGCUUGAUAACCUUGGGAUGAAGCCAAAUCUUGAUCUCUUUUAAUCCAACGGUCUAGAUUGCUCUAUUGUUUAUAUAGGGUUAUAUUUGUUGGGUGUUGUGUCAUGAGAGAAAAGAGAGAGAGAUAGAAAGGGAGAGUUCUUUUGUAUUUGGAGAGUGGAAAGAGUGGUGCCUCUUGUUCUUACUUGAUCUCAUUAAAGCAAGGUAAGACUUUUGUUUUUUGAGGUAAAGCUAGUUUUUAGAACUUAGUAAUCCUCUUGUGGUUUUAUGCCUAUUCCUUGUACUCUUGUACUCUUGUACUCUUGUUAUUUCCCCAUGAUAUAGUGAAGCAUUGUUCUCCCGUGGAUGCAGGCUUGUUCUU